AAGUUUGAUCCUGGCUCAGGAUGAACGCUAGCGGGAGGCCUAACACAUGCAAGCCGAGCGGGUAUUGUUUCUUCGGAAAUGAGAGAGCGGCGUACGGGUGCGGAACACGUGUGCAACCUGCCUUUAUCUGGGGGAUAGCCUUUCGAAAGGAAGAUUAAUACUCCAUAAUAUAUUGAACGGCAUCGUUUAAUAUUGAAAGCUCCGGCGGAUAGAGAUGGGCACGCGCAAGAUUAGCUAGUUGGUGAGGUAACGGCUCACCAAGGCAAUGAUCUUUAGGGGCCUGAGAGGGUGAUCCCCCACACUGGUACUGAGACACGGGCCAGACUCCUACGGGAGGCAGCAGUGAGGAAUAUUGGUCAAUGGGUGCAAGCCUGAACCAGCCAUCCCGCGUGAAGGACGACUGCCCUAUGGGUUGUAAACUUCUUUUGUAUAGGGAUAAACCUUUCCACGUGUGGAAAGCUGAAGGUACUAUACGAAUAAGCACCGGCUAACUCCGUG
rnacentral:rRNA from 1 species